rnacentral:rRNA from 1 species
GAUGAACGCUGGCGGCGUGCCUAAUACAUGCAAGUCGAGCGAACGGACGAGAAGCUUUCUUUUCUGAUGUUAGCGGCGGACGGGUGAGUAACACGUGGAUAACCUACCUAUAAGACUGGGAUAACUUCGGGAAACCGGAGCUAAUACCGGAUAAUAUUUUGAACCGCAUGGUUCAAAAGUGAAAGACGGUCUUGCUGUCACUUAUAGAUGGAUCCGCGCUGCAUUAGCUAGUUGGUAAGGUAACGGCUUACCAAGGCAACGAUGCAUAGCCGACCUGAGAGGGUGAUCGGCCACACUGGAACUGAGACACGGUCCAGACUCCUACGGGAGGCAGCAGUAGGGAAUCUUCCGCAAUGGGCGAAAGCCUGACGGAGCAACGCCGCGUGAGUGAUGAAGGCCUUCGGAUCGUAAAACUCUGUUAUUAGGGAAGAACAUAUGUGUAAGUAACUGUGCACAUCUUGACGGUACCUAAUCAGAAAGCCAGGGCUAACUACGUG